GGACUACCCGGGUAUCUAAUCCUGUUUGCUCCCCACGCUUUCGCGCCUCAGCGUCAGUCUCGGUCCAGAGAGCCGCCUUCGCCACCGGUGUUCUUCCCAAUAUCUACGAAUUUCACCUCUACACUGGGAAUUCCGCUCUCCUCUCCCGAACUCCAGCCCGCCCGUCUCGAGCGCACCUCCCAGGUUGAGCCCGGGGCUUUCACACUCGACCAGACAAGCCGCCUACGCGCCCUUUACGCCCAGUAAAUCCGAACAACGCUCGCCCCCUUCGUAUUACCGCGGCUGCUGGCAC
rnacentral:rRNA from 1 species